rnacentral:lncRNA from 1 species
AUCUGUUGGAACCUACUUCUACAGAAGGCCAGCUAAAACAACCAGUCUUGUGGGACUGAGCAGCUACCAGAUCCUUGGACUUCCUAUUCACAGCUGACCAUUGUUGGGGAGUUGGACUACUGUAAAAAGUAAGAUGCAACGUUGGGUGUGGUGAGAGAAUGCUGAUAAUCCCAGCUCACAGGAAGAGGUGGGCGUCUCAUCCCACUUCUGAGAGCAGCCUGUGGAGCAGAAGGAGUUCAGGACCAACCUGGAUGAAGAGGAUGACCAUGCGUCAAACACGAAGCAAACCAAUAGACAGCAUACAAGCACGCCACAUGUGUAAUGUUGGAAGUGGAUUUACAGCCCUGAUGUUCUCAUACAUCUUCUCUUCUCCCAUACUGUGCACAUCCUCCAAGCCCUGAUAUCCGUGCCAAGCGUUUUCCAUGCCACAUCCUGGACCUGCAUGUUUGACGUUCAAUCAUGUCUUCUGAGAAAUGAUAUUGGGAGAUUUGGUUCAGAAGGUAAUCUGGAGACAUACCCUCCUCUCUCUCUCUCUGGGGCCUCCUAUUUUAUAGACACAACCAUUUCUCCUUCAGACUCUAUUGUUUGAAACAUAAAUUCACCCUCCUUGUAGGUGUGGGCCUGCAAGUAUUGAAAAGC